UGCAGCCGUGGCACAACCUGGUACUGCGCGGGUCUUGAAAACCCGUUCCCGAAAGGGUAUCCCGGUUCAAAUCCGGGCGGCUGCGU
rnacentral:tRNA from 1 species